UAAGGAAUAUUCCACAAUGGACGCAAGUCUGAUGGAGCGACGCCGCGUGAGCGAAGAAGCCCUUCGGGGUGUAAAGCUCUUUUCCCAGAGAUGAUAAUGACAGUACCUGGGGAAUAAGCCUCGGCUAACUACGUGCCAGCAGCCGCGGUAAUACGUAGGAGGCAAGCGUUGUCCGGAAUUACUGGGCGUAAAGAGCGUGUAGGCGGUAGAGUAAGUCUGUAGUGAAAGCGCAUGGCUCAACUGUGCGAGGUCUAUGGAAACUGCUCAACUGGAGGAAGGUAGAGGAAGGUGGAAUUCCCGGUGUAGUGGUGAAAUGCGUAGAUAUCGGGAGGAACACCAGCGGCGAAGGCGGCCUUCUGGGCCUAUCCUGACGCUGAGACGCGAAGGCCAGGGUAGCGAACGG
rnacentral:rRNA from 1 species